AUAGCGUAUAUUAAAGUUGUUGCAGUUAAAAAGCUCGUAGUUGAAUUUCGGGACCAAUAUGUCAGUCAUACCUCGGUACGCACUGGCUUAUAGGUUUCUCCCUUCUGACGAACCAUGAUGUCAUUAAUUUGGUGUCUUGGGGAAUCAGGACUGUUACUUUGAAAAAAUUAGAGUGUUUAAAGCAGGCUCACGCUUGAAUACAUUAGCAUGGAAUAAUGAAAUAGGACGUUUGAUUCUAUUUUGUUGGUUUCUAGGAUCGACGUAAUGAUUAAUAGGGAUAGUUGGGGGCAUUAGUAUUCAAUUGUCAGAAGUGAAAUUCUUGGAUUUAUUGAAGACUAACUACUG
rnacentral:rRNA from 1 species